GACGAACGCUGGCGGCGUGCUUAACACAUGCAAGUCGAACGAUGAAGCUGGAGCUUGCUCCGGUGGAUUAGUGGCGAACGGGUGAGUAACACGUGAGCAAUCUGCCCUUGACUCUGGGAUAACUGCGGGAAACUGUAGCUAAUACCGGAUACGAGAUUUGGAGGCAUCUCCGGAUCUGGAAAGAAUUUCGGUCAAGGAUGAGCUCGCGGCCUAUCAGCUUGUUGGUGAGGUAAUGGCUCACCAAGGCGACGACGGGUAGCCGGCCUGAGAGGGUGACCGGCCACACUGGGACUGAGACACGGCCCAGACUCCUACGGGAGGCAGCAGUGGGGAAUAUUGCACAAUGGGCGAAAGCCUGAUGCAGCAACGCCGCGUGAGGGAUGAAGGCCUUCGGGUUGUAAACCUCUUUUAGUAGGGAAGAAGCGAAAGUGACGGUACCUGCAGAAGAAGCACCGGCCAACUACGUGCCAGCCGCCGCAGUAA
rnacentral:rRNA from 1 species